GUUUGAUCAUGGCUCAGAUUGAACGCUGGCGGCAGGCCUAACACAUGCAAGUCGAACGGUAACAGGAAGCAGCUUGCUGCUUUGCUGACGAGUGGCGGACGGGUGAGUAAUGUCUGGGAAACUGCCUGAUGGAGGGGGAUAACUACUGGAAACGGUAGCUAAUACCGCAUAACGUCGCAAGCACAAAGAGGGGGACCUUAGGGCCUCUUGCCAUCGGAUGUGCCCAGAUGGGAUUAGCUAGUAGGUGGGGUAACGGCUCACCUAGGCGACGAUCCCUAGCUGGUCUGAGAGGAUGACCAGCAACACUGGAACUGAGACACGGUCCAGACUCCUACGGGAGGCCAGUGGGGAAUAUUGCACAAUGGGCGCAAGCCUGAUGCAGCCAUGCNGCGUGUAUGAAGAAGGCCUUCGGGUUGUAAAGUACUUUCAGCGGGGAGGAAGGGAGUAAAGUUAAUACCUUUGCUCAUUGACGUUACCCGCAGAAGAAGCACCGGCUAACUCCGUGCCAGCAGCCGCGGUAAUACGGAGGGUGCAAGCGUUAAUCGGAAUUACUGGGCGUAAAGCGCACGCAGGCGGUUUGUUAAGUCAGAUGUGAAAUCCCCGGGCUCAACCUGGGAACUGCGAAUCUGAUACUGGCAAGCUUGAGUCUCGUAGAGGGGGGUAGAAUUCCAGGUGUAGCGGUGAAAUGCGUAGAGAUCUGGAGGAAUACCGGUGGCGAAGGCGGCCCCCUGGACGAAGACUGACGCUCAGGUGCGAAAGCGUGGGGAGCAAACAGGAUUAGAUACCCUGGUACCACGCCGUAAACGAUGUCGACUUGGAGGUUGUGCCCUUGAGGCGUGGCUUCCGGANNUAACGCGUUAAGUCGACCGCCUGGGGAGUACGGCCGCAAGGUUAAAACUCAAAUGAAUUGACGGGGGCCGCACAAGCGGUGGAGCAUGUGGUUUAAUUCGAUGCAACGCGAAGAACCUUACCUGGUCUUGACAUCCACGGAAGUUUUCAGAGAUGAGAAUGUGCCUUCGGGAACCGUGAGACAGGUGCUGCAUGGCUGUCGUCAGCUCGUGUUGUGAAAUGUUGGGUUAAGUCCCGCAACGAGCGCAACCCUUAUCCUUUGUUGCCAGCGGUCCGGCCGGGAACUCAAAGGAGACUGCCAGUGAUAAACUGGAGGAAGGUGGGGAUGACGUCAAGUCAUCAUGGCCCUUGACCAGGGCUACACACGUGCUACAAUGGCGCAUACAAAGAGAAGCGACCUCGCGAGAGCAAGCGGACCUCAUAAAGUGCGUCGUAGUCCGGAUUGGAGUCUGCAACUCGACUCCAUGAAGUCGGAAUCGCUAGUAAUCGUGGAUCAGAAUGCCACGGUGAAUACGUUCCCGGGCCUUGUACACACCGCCCGUCACACCAUGGGAGUGGGUUGCAAAAGAAGUAGGUAGCUUAACUUCGGGAGGG
rnacentral:rRNA from 1 species